AGAACGCAUGCCGGGUGUUCGACUUGCGCCGCCGUGACUCUCACCAUCUAGGGUCAUCUUAAUACUUGCAAGAAUCAAGAUGGAUACCCAGAUGGAAGACCGCGACGAGCAGUUGAUCUGAGAAAUACCGGCGAACUUGAUCUGGAUAAUACCAGCGAAAGGACAUGCUUCUCUGACCUC
rnacentral:ncRNA from 1 species